AUUGAACGCUGGCGGCAUGCCUUACACAUGCAAGUCGAACGGCAGCAUGGAGAGCUUGCUCUCUGAUGGCGAGUGGCGAACGGGUGAGUAAUGCAUCGGAACGUACCGUGUAAUGGGGGAUAACGUAGCGAAAGUUACGCUAAUACCGCAUACGACCUGAGGGUGAAAGCAGGGGAUCGCAAGACCUUGCGUUAUACGAGCGGCCGAUGUCAGAUUAGCUAGUUGGUGAGGUAAAGGAUCACCAAGGCGACGAUCUGUAGCGGGUCUGAGAGGAUGAUCCGCCACACUGGGACGGAGACACUGCCCAGACUCCUACGGGAGGCAGCAGUGUGGAAUUUUGGACAGUGGGGGCAACCCUGAUCCAGCCAUGCCGCGUGAGUGAAGAAGGCCUUCGGGUUGUAAAGCUCUUUCGGCCGGGAAGAAAUCGCACAGGCUAAUACUCUGUGUGGAUGACGGUACCGGCAUAAGAAGCACCGGCUAACUACGUGCCAGCCGCCGCCGUAA
rnacentral:rRNA from 1 species